rnacentral:lncRNA from 1 species
AGUUAUCAUGAUUCACCGCAACACCGGGCAAGCCCGCAUCGGCCUUUUAUCUAAUAAAUACGUCCCUUCCAAAAAAGUCGGGAGUUUGUGCACGUAUUAGCUCUAGAAUUACUACGGUUAUCCGAGUAGCAAGGUACCAUCAAAGAAACUAUAACUGAUUUAAUGAGCCAUUCGCAGUUUCACAGUACAAAAGAGUUUAUACUUACACAUGCAUGGCUUAAUCUUUGAGACAAGCAUAUGACUACUGGCAGGAUCAACCAGGUAGCUCUUCCUCCUCCCCCCGGGGGCUCGGACUAUAACCGUCUUUACAAAAUUGGCCUUUUUUUUCUUUUUUCCUUUCAUCGAUGACACCUUCUUUUUCUUUUUCACGAUGCGUCAGACCUCCCCGGUUUUUUCCCUUUUCGGGCACACACACCCCCCAAGAAGAAACCAAAACACACCAUCAUUCACGUUCCAAAAGGGGGGUCCUUCCCCCCCUCUCUCACUCUCCCUCUCGAGAUACCUGUUCCGGUUCGAACUGUGCUGUGUCGAACUUUAGCACCACCCCCUUUUCCCCCCUUCAACACACCCCGCACAAGACUCUGUGCGCCCACCUCCUGGAACUGGAUAUGAAAGCCCAAGGGGCCCUUUUCUUGCCCUGUGCAUGGUCCACCAUCCGAAGAAAUGCUGACUAAUGCUGUGCCUGUGAAUGGCAGUGGACGAGAUAAGGAAGAUGGACACCCCAACCUCCCCCCCCCCUCCGACCCCCAAGUUCGCGACCCGCUCGACGGACAACCCCAGGCUGACUAACAUGAUGAGGUAUCACCUCCAGAGAAGUCCCCUCCGGUUGGAGGGGCUCCGCCUCGCUACUAGCUUUCCGGUGCCUUGCAGGAAAUGCCGAACCCCACCCUUCCAUGGAUCCCGUCGUGAUCUACAACAAACAUUGAAACAUAAUACGCACCCCUUACUGCGCCGCGUCUGUUUCCCGGAAAAACUACUUGGAGCUGAUUGAAUUGUGCUAUCCGUCCUUUGAGGUCCCCUCCGAACGCCAAGAGAGCCUAGCCACGAAAACCCGUUCGAUGGUACCGAACUAGUAUUAUAUGGCCUGUAUCUCUCUCCCAACAUCCGGCUGGAACAAACCCCCCAGAACUUCCUGCGAAGUUGACCCCUCCAUCACCUCAUCCGAUCGAUUUCAUCCACCUCUCGCCUCCUACCUCCGCACCACCUGAAGUACAUUCUAAGCCCUGGCCCCCAAACCUUUGACGGAGAGGGGGGUCGAUAGUCCACUUCUUAAGCAAUAGUCCGGUGGGGGAGAAACGGCUAACCCGCACCUUAUAUUGACAUAGGCUAGCAUAUGGAGUAACCCUCGUUGAACCAAGGCCCCCCGACCCGCUUUGGCUGAUCGGGGGGUUCCGGGAGCAAAUUCUGGUGGGCGAGUACAGUGGAUCCUAGAUCGAUCGAACAAGGUAACUUCGAAAACAAACUCCCGAAUCUUUCCCAAACAGCUCUUCCAUAGUUUUUCCAGUCCGCAGCAACGACUCAGGUUUGGAUGGGCGAAAUCACGACGGCAGCCACAAAAAAAUGGAUCUCCGACAUCACACAACCCGACACACCUAAGUUUCGCGAGGCUCGGCCCCUCUUCCCCUUCGGAUGUCCCCCUUCGGUACACCACCACAUCAUGCCAUCCAGUCUGGAGCGUCGCCGACUCCCGUUGGCCAAGGUAGGGCCAACACAAGAGUAGCGGACGAACCAGUCAUCUGGUCUUACCGGAGAAAGGGAGAGGUAGACUGCCACCACCAAACCCCACCCAAGCACACACCAGGCAGCAAAAAGCCAUCAUCCUAAAAGAUGGUCCCACUUCACAAGACGAGGAGGUUCCCCGUCCUUCAUUCCAACCCCAGGUGAGAACACACACACCCUUCUUUGCGAUGGAUAAAAGGCAAAAAGAGAGGGCAAAAAAGCCAACGGCAAAUUCCAACCAGACCCCCAGAGGCACACACCACAAAAAGUGAAGCCAGAGAGAGCCAGACAAAGAGAAGGAUAGAGAGAGAGGGAGAGUUAGACCCCCCCGGAAGAGAAUCAUAGGUGCUGCGGCCUUUUUCGGGAAUGUGACCAGGAAAGAGAGAAACCGACGAGGCCGAUACACACAUUAAAAAAUGAAAAAGUAACCAUCACCGCGAAGGAUUUUCCUCAAAAGACAAAUCAGCAAGAAGUAUGUCCAAUCCCGGGGGCCCAUCGCCCCUCCAAAUUAAUGGAGGGGUCGGAUAGAAAUUUAUAGAAAUGUUACUUUUGUGAACCCCUAGCCGACGAGAGAACUCUCACCGGUUUCGAAGUUCCAUUUUCACAUUCCGACCUGGGAUGUUAUGACUCCUCGGCCCACACUGCGAACGCGUCCCACACCCCCUCCAAGUUUAUCAGGAAUUUCACCUGAGCUUGCAAUAGAGAUCGAGCGCGGUGGCGGUCACAGUGGUGGUCGACCAGGCGGAGCUUGAACGGCCUCGGCAAACACUUCUCCCCACCCUCCCAAAUGAAUGAGAGAAUGGCUUGACAAUACCGAGGCCAUCGCCCCCCGCCAAAAAUGGUUACUAGCUCUUGGGACUCGCUGCGACGUUACGCGUAUCGGCACAAGACCAACCCUCUUUUUCCAGUCGCCCGCGCACCAAAAAAAAUUUUGGCAGCGGGACUCACAAUCCUUGACAGCCAGCUCACCAUAUAAUACUCGGCGACCCUCCGCGGGACCUCCUCAGAGGGUCGCGUCGCCGGGAAACUAACCCCCACUCCUCACUGAUCCAAGGUAACACGCCAGAAGUAUCCAGGUAACCCCAGUAGUAUCCAGGUAUCCCCCCUGCGAACGUCGGUACUGGGCUCAAAGAAGGCAGCGAGCAGUCGGGACCCGUAGGCACCGAGCAACCGUCACCCCCUCACGACUUUUCCCGAGACGCUUCAGAGGAACCCUUCCCCCACAUAGUACUCUCUGUGGGAUUCGGCAGGCCCCCCCGUCCUACUGCACUAAGGAAGUUCCGAGACACACUUUUUUUUGUGGAAGACCACCCACCCUCCCUGUCCUGCCUGCUAUCCCCGCCGCGACUCCUGGUCCCGGCCCUCCUCCCCGACUUCCUCCUUGUCCCGCUGCGAGUCCCGGACCUCCUCCCCCACUACCUACUCCCGCCGCGAGUCCCAGUCCCGGCCUUCCUCCUCCUCCUCCUCUUCCCUAGUCCCGGCGCGAGUCCCGGACCUCCUCCCCCACUUCCUAGUCCCGUCGCGAGUCCCGGACCUCCUCCCCCUCUUCCUAGUCCCGGCGCGAGUCCCGGACCUCCUCCUUCUCUUCCUUGUCCCGCCGCGAGUCCCAGUCCCGUCGCGAGUCCCGGACUUCCUCCUUCUCUUCCUUGUCCCGCCGCGACUCCCUAGUCCCGUGGCGAGUCCCGGACUUCCUCCUCCUCUUCCUUGUCCCGCCGCGACUCCCUAGUCCCGGCGCGAGUCCCGGACUUCCUCCUCCUCUUCCUUGUCCCGCCGCGACUCCCUAGUCCCGGCGCGAGUCCCAGUCCCCUCCUCCUCUUCCUUGUCCCGCCGCGACUCCCUAGUCCCGGCGCGAGUCCCAGUCCCGUCGCGAGUCCCGGACUUCCUCCUCCUCUUCCUUGUCCCGCCGCGACUCCCUAGUCCCGGCGCGAGUCCCAGUCCCGUCGCGAGUCCCGGACUUCCUCCUCCUCUUCCUUGUCCCGCCGCGACUCCCUAGUCCCGGCGCGAGUCCCAGUCCCGUCGCGAGUCCCGGACUUCCUCCUCCUCUUCCUUGUCCCGCCGCGACUCCCUAGUCCCGGCGCGAGUCCCAGUCCCGUCGCGAGUCCCGGACUUCCUCCUCCUCUUCCUUGUCCCGCCGCGACUCCCUAGUCCCGGCGCGAGUCCCAGUCCCGUCGCGAGUCCCGGACUUCCUCCUCCUCUUCCUUGUCCCGCCGCGACUCCCUAGUCCCGGCGCGAGUCCCAGUCCCGUCGCGAGUCCCGGACUUCCUCCUCCUCUUCCUUGUCCCGCCGCGACUCCCUAGUCCCGGCGCGAGUCCCAGUCCCGUCGCGAGUCCCGGACUUCCUCCUCCUCUUCCUUGUCCCGCCGCGACUCCCUAGUCCCGGCGCGAGUCCCAGUCCCGUCGCGAGUCCCGGACUUCCUCCUCCUCUUCCUUGUCCCGCCGCGACUCCCUAGUCCCGGCGCGAGUCCCAGUCCCGUCGCGAGUCCCGGACUUCCUCCUCCUCUUCCUUGUCCCGCCGCGACUCCCUAGUCCCGGCGCGAGUCCCAGUCCCGUCGCGAGUCCCGGACUUCCUCCUCCUCUUCCUUGUCCCGCCGCGAGUCCCGACCUCUUGUCCCGCUCCCUUGCCCAAGUCCCGACUCCUGGCUGUCUCGACUCCUCGUUGGCCGCCCAGUCUUCCGCAUAGGUGGAAAUAAAUAAAUAAAUCAUUUUUUAAAAAAUCAAUUUUAAAAUUAACUCCCUGUCUCGACUCCUUGCUGGCCGCCCAGUCUUGCGCCUAGACAGAAAUAUAAAUAAAAAAUAAAAAUAAAUUGGUGAAUUAAAAAUAUUAAAGUAAUUUAAUUAACUGGAAUAAGGUAGAAAAAUAAAAGGCAGAAGAAUACUAAAUUGAUUUUUUCAAGUGCCACGUGUUACCUUGCUGAUGUGGCUGCCACGUGGUAGUCCAUGUCAUGUCAAAAAUCCACUAAAUCGUUUACAUGUCACUUUGGAGAUAAAUUUGUGUGUGUGCAAUCAAUUGGUUGUACAAAUAUGUUAAUGACUUGCUAACUAAUGCAUCGUACAGGUAAUCAUUGCCCACUAACUAAUCCAUCACCACUGAAACUUAAUGUCUUCAAUUCUUCAUCCUUCACACUCCACAUCCAAUUUAUUUUUGUUUGUGUGAAUUCUUAAAUCUAUCUUCUCUUUACAUACUCCAAGCCCAACUUUCUAAACCCUUUAUAUAAUCUAUGUGAAUCCUAGAAUCUAGGUUUAUAUACCCCAUGCAAACCCUAAAACCCUAAACCCUAAACC